rnacentral:lncRNA from 1 species
UCAUCACACUUCAGUUCUAACCGGUCCUUUCUCUCAACUUUAACAUUCUCUCUUUCUCUUAACAAGAAUUGCAUCAACACAAAUUGAGAAAAUUCUUUUGGACUUGUUCUUCACCUUUUUCCUCUCUUAAGUCAAGAAAGGUAUAUUCUUUCAUGGUUUCACUUUUAAACUCUCUUUAAGGGAUGAACAUAAUACUUGAUACCUCAUGAUAGUUGGUCAUGUAGAGUUGGUUUUUGUGAGUUUAUUGGGGUGAUUAACACUUGUUGGAAUAAUUAUGUGGUCAUGGGUGCCUUGUUUCACUAGUUUGAUUCAUGAUCCUCUCUUAAAUGAAACUAGUGCACCAUGUGCUUGAUAAAUGUCCAUUAAAGCCUUUCUUGCUUAUUUUUUUAUGGUGGGUGGCUCAAGUACGAUAGUAUGAACAUCUUGAAUAAGUUUGGAGAUGAUGUGGUGAGAUGAGCUUGCUCUCUUGUGCUCUUAUUCUCUUUCUCUAAGUUCUUGGUUGGCAUGCCCACUAUGUGUUUGUUGAAAUGACAAUAAGAGAGAAAUGUGUUGUAUGCUUGUAAUGGCCAAUAUGAAUUUCCUUAGGGCAUGGUGUGGUCAUUUUUCAUGCAUCGUUCUGAGUCCAAUUAAACCUAAUAAUGAAAUAGUUGGUAGUCAUAGGUUGAGGGAGAUUGUUGAGAAAUACGGCAUCCAUGAUUCUUGUUGGUCACUAAGCCUAACCGGGAAACAUGAAUGUUUGCCUUGUCCUAUGAUAGAUUGGAUGACAUUAUUCUUAAGGGUAUUGGUCAUUCUUGUUUCCAUUGGAGGUUACAGAUGCCCUAUGAGCUAGUUUUGAGAAGUAUGAAGAAUGUGAGACAAUGUCAUGCCUAAAUGAUUAGGUGUUGUAAUAAAUGAAACCCAUGGACUCUAGUGAUGAGUUACCUUGCACCCUAUUUUCUUUUCCUAUCUUUAUUUUUAUUUCCGUUCUUAACUUAUAAAAUCCAAAAACAUGUUUUACCUUUUGUCUUUUGUUUUGGUUUUGUUUUGUUUCUUUAUCAUAGGUAUGUCUUCAAGAAAAAAUUUACCAUGAGAAAUUAUCCAAGGAUGAUGAGUUACCCUUUAUAGUAGACUCGAUGAGGGAUCCUAGUCUGACGAGGCUCCUAUUGAGACAGUACAAUCAUUCACCGACAUGGACCCGAGUGCCUAGUGCGCCACAGAGAGUCUUUACCCUCUUUUACUCUCUUUUAUUUCUGUAUUGGGGACAAUGCAAUAUUUUUAGUGGGGGUGAGGUAUCGUUAUGAUUCAUUUGAUGGUCGGUAUCUACUGUCUCAUUUUAUGGCAUGUGGCUUGAUAAAUUGUGGAGACAUAUUCUAUUUUAUUACUUUGAAUUUGUGCCAUGCGCUUAAUUUAAAUGUGGUAUCCGAUUGUGUGCAUUACUCUUAUCGCCUUUGGUAUAUACGUGUCUAAUAAACUCCAAGGGUUUUCUUCGAAACUCGGUUCUUUCCUAAGGAGAAAAUUGUUAUUUUCUCUUUCUUUUGAUCUUUAUUUUUAUGUUAUUUUAGUUUCUUUGUCGAACCGAGUGAUUAUUCACCCAUGAGGGAUGACAAGGCGACAUCCUUAGGUGAAGUAUCUAGUCAUUUUGGUUAACUAGGAAGAAGCAAAAAUUCAAAAAUACUUUCAAAAUGUCAUUGGCAAGGAAUAAAAUAUUUUUGCGAAAAAAACCAAAAAUAUAGUUGCAAGAUCAAGGAUGUUUUGAGUUUUCUUUUGAGUGAGACCAUUAAACUCAAUUUUUGGCUCUCUCUUUAAAGGAUGAGUCGUUGACUCAGAGUAACUUAUGAAGCUCAAAUUGCUCAAAUUGGUUGGGAGAUUAACUUUUUACUCUAUGAGUAUGAUGCCAUGAGUGGUGAGACUUUUAAAAAAAUCUUGUGCAUUUGUGUAGUCUAAAACUUACCCCGAGUGUAUUCAAAGCGAAAUUCUAGACAAGCUUGAUUUGGAAGAUGACUCGAGGCCUUUUUUGACCCGUCACAUAGCCAAAUUCUCACUGUAACAUUGUUCCCUAGUUAACCCAUUUAAACCUUUUUGCCCUUUGUUCUUUCUUAUUGUAAUGAUAACCAUGCAAAAACACCUAAACCCUUUUGAAAACCUCUCUUUUGGCACCUAACUUCCUUUGAUGCGUUACAUGAUUCUAAAUAAUAGAUUAUAGGUCAAAACCUAAGUUUGGGGGGUUGUGUAUUUGAGAGAAGAUGAUCAAAGAAAAGAUAAGAAAAGUGUAUGUAAGGUUGUCAAUACAUGUACUUAAAAGACAAGAGAUGUGCUUGAUGAUAAAAUUGAAUAGCCUAGCCCGUACAACUUGAAAAAAAAUUGAAUGAGUGAGGGGCUAAGAAAGGCUAAUAGGCAGAAAAUCUCUUGAAAAAGUCAAAGAAGUGAAAGAAAAAAAUGGUGGCUUUGAAUGAUUUGGUAAAUGCUAAAUAAAUAGUUAGGAAAAUAUGGGAAAUGAUUUGAAAAAUAAUAAGGUGGGUGAUUUGAAAAUUUUGAGGGUAGAAAGGAUUGAAUGAUUGCAUUGAAGGGGGUCCUUUAGUCACUUGAUCCAUAUGUAUUCCUUCCCACACCUUAAACCUUCAUCUUGACCAGUAAGACCUUGUUGAUUCCAAACUAAGUCUACAUUAGUGGCGAAAAACACAAAGGGCAAGCCUAUGGUUCUAUUCAAUGUACUUGAAUUUCUUUGUAAGAGUGAGUAUGAAUUCUUUCUUUAUUUAAGCUUCGUUAAGAAUUGAAAUGUCUUUGGUGCGUGGAGCUAACUCUUGCAUGUGAGCGACAUCGGUACUUUUGGGUAGAGGGUGAUGUUUUACUAUCGGUUUGGGUAAAUGAGUGAAGUAAGUUGUAUUGAGAAGAUUGAGACAAUCUUUGAUGAUUUUGUGCCUUAUCUUAAGAUGUUUUGUGAUUUGAAAAAUUCAUUUGAUACAAACUUGCAUCCUUGCUUCAUAACUAUGUGCUUAUUGAAAAGUUUUGGUUUACUUGUUGCCAUGACAUGUGUGGAAAGUAUUUGUAGAGUUUUGUUAGCCUAUUCCUUUAGUAUAGCUUUCUUCUAGGUGGAUUUGAGUUAAGUACCUUAUCUCAUUAAAUUAUUCUUGGUUGCUUGAGGACAAGCAAUAGUUUAAGUUUGGGGGGUUGAUAAGUCGUCAAUUUGACGACUUGCUAGCACCUUUUAAGCCUAAAUUAUCAUACUUUUUCAUUGAUUUGAUGGUUCUCUCUUACGUAAUGCCCAUUUAUGUAGGUAAAAGUAAAAAGAGAAGAUUGGGCAAGUCAUUCAAGUCGUCAAGAGGCCAAAUGUGAAGGAAAUGAGUCAUCCGUUUCACAUCUGCUUUGGAGCUGCUAGCCAUCUGCUCUCUGUCUGCUCUUCAUCCGCUAUGGAUCCGCUCAAGCAGAUAAAAAAUAAGGUGGUAGUUUUAUAAUUUCCAUCAAAUGUAGAGUGGAGUUUAAAAGGAGGCUUUUAGUUAUCUUUCAAGACCUAGUUUUCAUUUUGUGAAGAUAGCCUCCCUUUUAGCUCUUAGCUUCUCUCUUCUCUUUUAGCACCCAUCUUUCAUCUUUUGAGAAUUUUGUUCUAAGCUUGAAUGAAAAAUACAUGGUAGUGAUUUUUCUUUGAAGAAUUAUUGAAACCCCA